UGGGGCGUCGUUCAACGGUAGGACACGCGGCUCUGGACCGCGGAAUCCUGGUUCGAAUCCAGGCGCCCCAGCCA
rnacentral:tRNA from 1 species